rnacentral:rRNA from 1 species
CGGUCCAGACUCCUACGGGAGGCAGCAGUGGGGAAUAUUGCACAAUGGGGGAAACCCUGAUGCAGCGACGCCGCGUGAAGGAAGAAGUAUUUCGGUAUGUAAACUUCUAUCAGCAGGGAAGAAAAUGACGGUACCUGACUAAGAAGCCCCGGCUAACUACGUGCCAGCAGCCGCGGUAA